GGAGGGAUGGCCGAGUGGUCGAAGGCGCCGGUCUUGAAAACCGGUGAGGUUCACGCCUCCGUGGGUUCGAAUCCCACUCCCUCCGCCA
rnacentral:tRNA from 2 species